rnacentral:rRNA from 1 species
UACAGAGGGUGGCAAGCGUUGUUCGGAAUUAUUGGGCGUAAAGGGCGCGUAGGCGGUGCGGUAAGUCUUUUGUGAAAGUCUCCGGGCCUCAACUCGGAGUCUGCAGGAGAAACUGCCGUGCUUGAGUAUGGGAGAGGUGAGUGGAAUUCCUGGUGUAGCGGUGAAAUGCGUAGAUAUCAGGAGGAACACCUGUGGCGAAAGCGGCUCACUGGACCGAUUACUGACGCUGAGGCGCGAAAGCUAGGGGAGCAAACAGG